rfam:Ixodes scapularis strain Wikel colony gcontig_1107729098708, whole genome shotgun sequence.
UCCUGGUUAUCUCAGCUGGUAGAGCGCUCCACUGGAAACAGAGAAGCCCCUGGUUCGUCACCAGGACCAGGCG